GUGUUGUAUAAAAGGAAAACUCCCCUUGACAAGGAUGGAACAGGCCCUCAGUCCUUACAACACAUAUAUAGUUAAGGAAUCGCCAUCCACUGCAUGGCAUCUAACCAUUGUUU
rnacentral:ncRNA from 1 species